UGUGCAACACUCCUUUCCUGUGCCAGGCACUGUGCUAAGCAAUUAACGUGUACUAUCUCAUUUAAUCCUCUCAGCGACUCUAUGGCGACAGUAUUAUUAAUGGUGCUUCAUGAAAGGAAAAACUCAAGGAAAUAUCUCUUCUUCCUAUAGCGUGAGAGCCAGCUAAGGAGUGCAAGCCCCCCCCUCCCCAACCAUGGGGUGAGAAGUGUCCCCUCUGUUCUCCCAGCAGUCCUGUGCUUCCCUGUUACAGAGUGCCCCCCAGUCUGCUGUGAUGGCUGUGGCCCUGCAUCUCUUCCACAUGAAAUGAGAGCUGGAGGCAUGGCUCACUCCAUGAUACAGAUCUAGUCCCUAGAACAGAACUAGGCUCCUAUGGGGAAAUGCAAUAAGGACAGCGAACAAAGAAAGGGAGAGGUAGAAGGAAGCUCAGAAGUUUAAAGGACUCAGUCUGGCAGAAAAAGAAAGAGGGGUUGAGGAGGGAGUGAGAUGAAGGGAAGUUGAGUGCAAGGAAGUUCAGAGGGGGAACUCUACAGAAUGCACAUGGAAAAUAAAGUUAAUCAGCAAGGAUGGAAAGAUAUCUUAAACGUCAACAUCAACAGAAAAAAGACCUAACUGUAUAUCAAAUUGAACUUUAAUAAUUUAGUGGAAUAUAAUUUUAAUGGAAUAUAAUCUUGUGCUUUGCUUUGUAGAUGUGUUGAUGGUCGUGGUAUUGAUGUAGUAAUUCCAGCACUAUUUGUGACUAAGGAAUGUUAAAGCAAAUAUAUUGUUUGGGGGAAUAAUAAUUCUCAUUCACUAAGAGAGAAGGGAGAAAACAUAUGGAAUGAGAACAAAGGAAGAACACCACAUUGCUGUAUUAAAUUAAAGAUUACUAGUAAGACCUCCCUCUUGCUCCAGAAAGAUAGAUAGAGAGAUGAUAGCUAUAAAUCUGUUCCCUGAAAGAGCAUAGAAGCAAUGAUAUUAUAGUACAAAUGAUCGCAGCCACCACACCAUGAGUUCUAAAUGCCAUUCUCUAAUUUUAAAAACCUGAACUUCUUAGAGAAGUGGCUGAUUCCAGGUAUUUGACAGAAAAAUUACAAGGCAAGGCUGAACAUCUUGUAUCAGAAAACAUGGAGGUGCUAAAAACAAACAAACAAAAACAGUGGAGAACACCGGAUCCAGCUUCAAGGGGCAUCCCUGGCCAGAUCUGAAAGACCUGAGCAUCAACAAGAGCAACGGUGGCUACGUAUCAUAAGAUAAUUGAAUAAAACAAAAACCCGUGAGUCAUUGUGACAAGUAAAGGCUAAAGGUGCUACCAUGCCAAACCAUACUGCUCAGCUACAGGCCACUUUCUUUUGCCAGGCAGGCAUGAAGAGGACCAUUUGAAAAGAGUUGGCGAGAUGAAGGAAAGGCACGGUACAGGCCUGCAUAAUAUUACAGAGAUUUCAUUAUGAGAGAGGAGGUAUUACCAAAUGAGAACAUAUUUCUCUUCCUUAUUAUGGGUUAGACAAGGGCUUAAAAACUGGUGGCUUAAUGUCCUGCUAUGACUCACAGAUAUUUUUACUCACAAACUUCUUUAAUUGGGAAAUUGCACUUAAAUUCCAGAUUUCUGGAUUGUCUUAAAAUCCAGGCAAUCUAGUCUUCAUUCCAACCUGAAAACAGUCAGCUAACAUGAGCAGAAAUUGUCCUAUUCAGUAGGGCCUGCAUCCUUGGGCUCAUCAGAGCUUCCAGUAGUACAGGCUCCCUUCACUGAUUGUUGUCACCUGUCUGGCCCCUGGAGACAUUAUCCUUUAUGACCACUAGUUUGUUUAUGUUUCUGACUUGUGAGCUAUAAAACUGGAAUGACCACUAGUUUAAACUUC
rnacentral:lncRNA from 1 species